CUUAGCGUCUCAGUCCCGCUCCCGCCGCUGAAACGGGGACUGGUCAUAGAAAAUAGGGGGGGGGGAGGUAUCAUUUUAGCUAGGGCUUUGGAAAAGUUAUCGUUUGGAAUGCAAGUCCCAGAAUAGCCCCCAGCUGGCGGAUUUUUAGCUCAUAGGCAAAAGCACAAUUCAUUCGGUAUGCCAAUGAAAGAAGGAACCUGGUUUCUAUUGAGAGUGGGGGUCGUGAAUAGAGGAGUUUCUGCUGCGGCAGGAUUUGUGUUUUAUCCGGGGCAGUUUCUGGCUGAAAUGAGGCAGCCGUGGACAGAGUGAGAUGGUGGACAUCACUGGAAGAACAGGACCUAAACUCCGUAUGAAGGAGGAAGAUGUAAGCCCUGAUGCCUUAAAGAGGGACGCAUCUGAAGAUGUUCGGGAGGAGCAGAGGGAACUGCCUACCCUUUCCCUAGCUGAGCAAGUGAAGCCCCGAGCCAGACUUAAAGCUGACGUCACUAGAAAAUGACCAGCAGACAUCCAGGGGUCAACCGAGUGGCCAGUUGACGGGAAAGGUUGUGGAGGAAGGAGCCAGUGGUCGACAGAGGGACUCCUGAGUGCCAGCAGAGAUGUGUCCAUCUGAAGGAGAUGACAACAUCUGGACCAGUCCAUGGUGCGCCAGACUACUACGGUAAAGUGAGAGACUUGGACUUUGCCAAUUUUACCUUUGCAACAGAGGCUCAGAUCAUUCCUUGAAAGCCCAAUGACUGAUGGGGGUGGAUAAUCCAAGCUGAUAUUGUAUUAUAAAUGUUCUGUUUGUAAAUGUGAUGAAAAAUUGAAUUGACAGACCAAAAUGUGAAGAAUGA